rnacentral:rRNA from 1 species
CUAUCAGGUAGUAGUGGGUGUAGCGUACCUACUAGCCUACGAUGGGUACGGGUUGUGAGAGCAAGAGCCCGGAGAUGGAUUCUGAGACACGAAUCCAGGCCCUACGGGGUGCAGCAGGCGCGAAAACUUUACAAUGCUGGCAACAGCGAUAAGGGAACCUCGAGUGCCAGGUUACAAAUCUGGCUGUCGAGAUGCCUAAAAAGCAUUUCAUAGCAAGGGCCGGGCAAGACCGGUGCCAGCCGCCGCGGUAACACCGGCGGCUCGAGUGGUAACCGUUAUUAUUGGGUCUAAAGGGUCUGUAGCCGGCCGGAUAAGUCUCUUGAGAAAUCUGGCAGCUUAACUGUCAGGCUUUCAGGAGAUACUGUCUGGCUCGAGGCCGGGAGAGGUGAGAGGUACUUCAGGGGUAGGGGUGAAAUCUUGUAAUCCUUGAAGGACCACCAGUGGCGAAGGCGUCUCACCAGAACGGACCUGACGGCAAGGGACGAAAGCUAGGGGCACGAACCGGAUUAGAUACCCGGGUAGUCCUAGCCGUAAACGAUACUCGCUAGGUGUCGGCCACGGUGCGACCGUUGUCGGUGCCGUAGGGAAGCCG